rnacentral:rRNA from 1 species
GACGAACCGUCCAAACGUUAUUCGGAAUCACUGGGCUUAAAGGGCGCGUAGGCGGCCGAGCGGGUCGUGGGUGAAAUCCUCCAGCUUAACUGGAGAACUGCCCUUGAUACCACUGCGGCUCGAGGAAGGAAGGGGCAAUCGGAACUGUCGGUGGAGCGGUGAAAUGCGUUGAUAUCGACAGGAACGCCGGUGGCGAAAGCGGAUUGCUGGUCCUUUUCUGACGCUGAGGCGCGAAAGCCAGGGGAGCAAACGGG